AGAAGGAACUUGUUGCGACGAUAUAGUACCUCCUAAAUGAUGGGAGUCGGAAAUCAUUGAAUUCCUUAAGUCAACUUCGAUUCGAGAUUUCCUUAUAUAAUGAAAAUUAAUUUCUUUGUAUAGAAGGCUUAUGAUGGCAAGACUACUACGAACAACAAAUCGAAGCGGUAUUGCAACAAAUCCUGAAGUGAAGAUGAUUAUAGUCGACGACAUGCUUUAAAUCUCAUCCUUAAUAAUCAAGGUUCGCGGCGCAGCUAGUUUUUAAAUACAUUUGUAAUUAUUUUUCAAAAUUGUAUGUAAUUUAGUAUAAUUUAAUUUUGUUUUAAAUUCAACGCUAAUAAUGUAUUUUCACUUAAAAAACAAUAUCUGUAUGUUAAAAUGUAACUUCUUGUUUUUGAAUAAAUAAAAAAGAUAUUAAAUGUACUUUUUUCA